GCCGCGACCCGUUGCUGGGGACGUCGAAGGCCCGGGUGGACUGGUACCCCGACGCCGUGCUGCUUUAGUAGCAUGACGAAGGGGGAAACCUCCGGUGUCCUGGCUGCCCUGCGACGGUCGUGCAGAUGAGGGGCGAAUAAACGUCACUCUCGCGGCGUGCAAAAGGUCGGUGACCCACCCGACCCGUCUUGAAACACGGACCAAGGAGUCUAACAUGUGUGCGAGUCAUUGGGUGCACUAAACCCACAGGCGUAAUGAAAGUGAAAGGUGGGCGUCCCGGGGUUCCCUCACUGAGGGGGCUCUGGUCGGCGCCUACCGGGGCCGAUCCUCGACAUGCCGUCGGUUCGCCGGCGUCUCUUCCCACACCAAAGCGGGGCCGCCAAGACGGGGCUGCGGACGCGGGGUGAGACCCUUUCCCUCGUGGCGUAGCCUCCGGUCCCGUGGGUACCCGGCGAGCGCGACAGUCCGGCUGCUGCUGAUUCUGGUAGUAGCCGCCUGUACGCAGGGGGGCGCAGGCCCGGGACUUGCCAUUUGACGCCGUCGCGUAAAUCUGUUGUUGGCCUCGCCGGCUCUGCUUGGGCUCUCGGUUGGCGGGCCGCGCGCCGGGCGGGCUUUAGGAGGAGGGCAUACACUGUCCAAGUCCGGGUCCGUCCGUACCGCGCGGUUUUAGCCUUGCG
rnacentral:rRNA from 1 species